UACGGAGGGUGCAAGCGUUAAUCGGAAUUACUGGGCGUAAAGCGCACGCAGGUGGCUGAGUCAGUCGAUUGUGAAAGCCCUGGGCUUAACCUGGGAAUUGCAGUCGAUACUACUCAGCUAGAGUAUGGGAGAGGGUAGUGGAAUUCCCGGUGUAGCGGUGAAAUGCGCAGAUAUCGGAAGGAACAUCAGUGGCGAAAGCGACUUCCUGGACCAGUACCGACGUUCAGGCACGAAAGCGUGGGGAGCAAACAGG
rnacentral:rRNA from 1 species